UACGUAGGUGGCGAGCGUUGUCCGGAUUUACUGGGCGUAAAGAGCGCGCAGGCGGUCGUGCAAGUCGCGUGUGAAAGCCCCCGGCUCAACUGGGGAGGGUCACGCGAUACUGCUCGACUCGAAGGCAGGAGAGGGAAGUGGAAUUCCCGGUGUAGUGGUGAAAUGCGUAGAUAUCGGGAGAAACACCAGUGGCGAAGGCGACUUCCUGGCCUGUUCUUGACGCUGAGGCGCGAAAGCUAGGGUAGCAAACGGG
rnacentral:rRNA from 1 species